AGACUCUACUUGAAGCUUAAGAAAUGACACAUAUCCUCAACCUCUUGGUAACUAGAAGAUAAUUACCAGCACCAUAUAGGAAUACAGAAGGGCCAGAAUCUUGAGAUGUGUCAAAUUACUUUUGGAAAUAAUGACUUGUUGCCAUGGUAACCUAGAGCCUAACGACUAUAUCACAAGAUCUCAGUCCAGGAGAAAUGAGUGCAGCGCUGCCAGUUGUGUGAUGUAUCCCCUCUAGACAAAUCAGGGUACUGACAAUCCAUGCUCAAGGAAGCUGCGCAGGAUGGGAAAACGAUAUGAGACGACAGAAGACACUGAGGUGAUCUUUCAUGGCUCCACCUACACGAGAUCUGACUUGGACGUGAUGGUCCCUCUACUCUUCGACUUGACU